GAUGAAGAACGUAGCGAAAUGCGAUAAGUAAUGUGAAUUGCAGAAUUCAGUGAAUCAUCGAAUCUUUGAACGCACAUUGCGCCCGCCAGUAUUCUGGCGGGCAUGCCUGUUCGAGCGUCAUUUCACCACUCAAGCCUGGCUUGGUGUUGGGCGACGUCCUCUUUGGGGACGCGCCUCGAAACGCUCGGCGGCGUGGCACCGGCUUUAAGCGUAGCAGAAUCUUUCGCUUUGGAAGUCGGGGCCCCGUCUGCCGGAAGACCUGCUCGCAAGGUUGACCUCGGAUCAGGCAGGGAUACCCGCUGAACUUAAGCAUAUCAAUAAGCGGAGGA
rnacentral:misc_RNA from 1 species